rnacentral:rRNA from 1 species
UACGUAGGGUGCAAGCGUUGUCCGGAAUUAUUGGGCGUAAAGAGCUCGUAGGCGGUUUGUCGCGUCUGCUGUGAAAACCCCGAGGCUCAACCUCGGGCCUGCAGUGGGUACGGGCAGACUAGAGUGCGGUAGGGGAGAUUGGAAUUCCUGGUGUAGCGGUGGAAUGCGCAGAUAUCAGGAGGAACACCGAUGGCGAAGGCAGAUCUCUGGGCCGUAACUGACGCUGAGGAGCGAAAGCAUGGGGAGCGAACAGG